UCUGCACUGCCUUAUCUGACCCUUUAGGACUCUACCCAGGCAGACCAUGUGCAUUUUUAUUUUAAAAAUGGGAACAAGUUCAAAAUCAUCUUUCUUUUUAGUCUUUGCUCUUAUUACUUCCUGCUUCCUUCACUUCCAGGACCGAGUUUUCCAAGGACACUGUUCACACACCACCUUUGCUCCUUUACCUUUGGGCUCCCCAUGGAGUGGCAAUGUUUCCAUCACUCAAAUAUAUCUCUCUAUUGCACCACUAACUGUGAAGACCUUAACGUAGAAUAUAUUUCCAGUUUUGGGUGCUGCCCUCAGGAAUGAGGUGAAACCAACGUCUGAAACUUUGGAAGGAACAAAUGAAAGGAUUAGGCUCCUGAAAAAGGAAUGUUGAGUUCCAAAGGUCUUUAAUUCCACCUUCU